rnacentral:rRNA from 1 species
GGGUUCGAUUCUGGCUCAGGAUGAACGCUGGCGGCGUGCCUAACACAUGCAAGUCGAACGAAGCACUGGAAACGGAGAUUCGUCAAAGUUCCUUGACUUAGUGGCGGACGGGUGAGUAAUGCGUGAGCAACCUGCCUUUCAGAGGGGGACAACAGUUGGAAACGACUGCUAAUACCGCAUAAUGUAUUUAGGAGGCAUCUCCCGGAUACCAAAGGAGCAAUCCGCUGAAAGAUGGGCUCACGUCUGAUUAGCUAGUUGGUGAGGUAACGGCUCACCAAGGCUGCGAUCAGUAGCCGGACUGAGAGGUUGAACGGCCACAUUGGGACUGAGAUACGGCCCAGACUCCUACGGGAGGCAGCAGUGGGGAAUAUUGGGCAAUGGGCGAAAGCCUGACCCAGCAACGCCGCGUGAAGGAAGAAGGUCUUCGGAUUGUAAACUUCUUUUAUGAGGGACGAAGGACGUGACGGUACCUCAUGAAUAAGCCACGGCUAACUACGUGCCAGCAGCCGC